GAUGAACGCUGGCGGCGUGCCUAACACAUGCAAGUCGAGCGAGAAGCUGAUGAAUGAUACUUCGGUUGAAUGAUUCAGUGGAAAGCGGCGGACGGGUGAGUAACGCGUAGGCAACCUGCCCCGGACCGGGGGAUAGCCAUUGGAAACGAUGAUUAAUACCCCAUAACGCAGAAUGACCACAUGGUCAGUCUGCCAAAGAUUUAUCGGUACGGGAUGGGCCUGCGUCUGAUUAGCCAGUUGGCGGGGUAACGGCCCACCAAAGCAACGAUCAGUAGCCGACCUGAGAGGGUGAUCGGCCACAUUGGAACUGAGACACGGUCCAAACUCCUACGGGAGGCAGCAGUGGGGAAUAUUGCACAAUGGGCGCAAGCCUGAUGCAGCAACGCCGCGUGAGGGAUGAAGGCCUUCGGGUCGUAAACCUCUGUCCUUGGGGAAGAAACAAAUGACGGUACCCAUGGAGGAAGCCCCGGCUAACUACGUG
rnacentral:rRNA from 1 species